rnacentral:rRNA from 1 species
AUGGAGAGUGGUGACGUUGUGUGCGGCUCUUUGGAGGAGUGGCUCCAUGCAUUGCCAACAAUUGAGGAGUUAGAUUUGCCCCCACAGACGCAAGUCAUAUUUAACAAGCACAAAGAGCUCCAUGCCAGAGAACUUAAUGCUGCAUUCAGCUCAUUUGGGAGGGUCUUGCAAGGCAUGUACUGCAAGCGGAUGGGCCUAAUGUUGUCUGAGGCACACAAAGCUGAGUGCAGCAUUCAUGGACAGAGAGCUGAAGGUGAAGGCAUCACUUUCAGUGUACCAGGGGGGACUUCUGCUGCAGGCAUGUCUGAUGGGGCUGUAGAUGAACCUUUUGCGCAACAGCCCAAGCAUCCGGAGCAGCCCAACAUUCAUCCUGUCACUGUACCGCCUCCACAACAGCCCAAGCAAUAG